rnacentral:rRNA from 1 species
AGUGAACGCUGGCGGUAGGCCUAACACAUGCAAGUCGAACGGCAGCACAGUAAGAGCUUGCUCUUACGGGUGGCGAGUGGCGGACGGGUGAGGAAUACAGCGGAAUCUACUUUUUCGUGGGGGAUAACGUAGGGAAACUUACGCUAAUACCGCAUACGACCUACGGGUGAAAGCAGGGGAUCUUCGGACCUUGCGCGAUUGAAUGAGCCGAUGUCGGAUUAGCUAUUUGGCGGGGUAAAGGCCCACCAAGGCGACGAUCCGUAGCUGGUCUGAGAGGAUGAACAGCCACACUGGAACUGAGACACGGUCCAGACUCCUACGGGAGGCAGCAGUGGGGAAUAUUGGACAAUGGGCGCAAGCCUGAUACAGCCAUACCGCGUGGGUGAAGAAGGCCUUCGGGUUGUAAAGCCCUUUUGUUGGGAAAGAAAAGCAGCAGGUUAAUACCCCGCUGUUCUGACGGUACCCAAAGAAUAAGCACCGGCUAACUUCGUG